rnacentral:misc_RNA from 1 species
GAAAUGCGAUAAGUAAUGUGAAUUGCAGAAUUCAGUGAAUCAUCGAAUCUUUGAACGCACAUUGCGCCCCCUGGUAUUCCGGGGGGCAUGCCUGUUCGAGCGUCAUUACAACCCUCAGGCCCCCGGGCCUGGCGUUGGGGAUCGGCGGAAGCCCCCUGCGGGCACAACGCCGUCCCCCAAAUACAGUGGCGGUCCCGCCGCAGCUUCCAUUGCGUAGUAGCUAACACCUCGCAACUGGAGAGCGGCGCGGCCACGCCGUAAAACACCCAACUUCUGAAUGUUGACCUCGAAUCAGGUAGGAAUACCCGCUGAACUUAAGC